GCCGCCAUAGGAUGGGUCUGCGGCCGAUUAGGUUGUUGUUGGGGUAACGGCCCAACAAGCCUGUAAUCGGUACGGGUUGUGGGAGCAAGAGCCCGGAGAUGGAUUCUGAGACACGAAUCCAGGCCCUACGGGGCGCAGCAGGCGCGAAAACUUUACAAUGCGGGAAACCGUGAUAAGGGAACUCCGAGUGCCCGUAAAAUCGGGCUGUCCAUCUGUUUAAAUAACAGGUGAAGAAAGGGCCGGGCAAGACCGGUGCCAGCCGCCGCGGUAAUACCGGCGGCUCGAGUGGUGGCCACUAUUACUGGGCUUAAAGCGUUCGUAGCUGGUUUGUUAAGUCUCUGGGGAAAUCUGCCGGCUCAACCGGCAGGCGUUCCAGGGAUACUGGCAGACUAGGGACCGGGAGAGGUGAGGGGUACUCCAGGGGUAGGAGUGAAAUCCUGUAAUCCUUGGGGGACCACCUGUGGCGAAGGCGCCUCACCAGAACGGCUCCGACAGUGAGGGACGAAAGCUGGGGGAGCAAACCGGAUUAGAUACCCGGGUAGUCCCAGCCGUAAACGAUGCGCGUUAGGUGUAUCGGUGACCACGAGUCACCGAGGUGCCGAAGAGAAAUCGUGAAACGUGCCGCCUGGGAAGUACGGUCGCAAGGCUGAAACUUAAAGGAAUUGGCGGGGGAG
rnacentral:rRNA from 1 species